ACAUGUGUGCAGUGUGUGCAUGCGCAUGUGCGUGCACCUGCGCACAUACACGUGUGCACACACGUACACUGCGUGUGCCUACGCAUGUAUGUACAAGCCGCACACAUACGUACAUGUGCCCACCUAUAUGCUCAUACACAUGCACACAUAUAGGUGCACAUGCACGUAUGUUAUGCACACACAUGC
rnacentral:sRNA from 1 species